rnacentral:lncRNA from 1 species
GUACAUUGACCAGGAAGAGCUGAAUAAGAUGAAGCCUAUCUGGACCAGAAAUCUGGAUGCCAUCACUCAAGAGGAAUAUGGUGAAUUCUAUAAGAGCCUCACCAAUGACUGUGAAGACCACUUGGCAGUCAAGCACUGCAGAAAGGCAGUUGGAAUUCAGGGCAUUGUUCUUCAUUCCCCAGAGAGCUCCCUUUGACCUCUUUGAGAACAACAAGAAGAACAACAUCAAAUUAUAUGUCUGUCGUGUGUUCAUCAUGGAUAGCUGUGAUGAGCUGAUACCUGAGUACCU